GCUGACACGUCCCGGCCAAUCUCCAGCAGACCCUCCCUCCCAGACCCUCCUACUUCCUGGACAGCAUCCAUGUUGAAAAAUAGUAUUUUUGCUUUUAUGGGAAACAUGGAUGCUGUCCAGGAAGUAGGAGGGUCUGGGAGGGAGGGUCUGCUGGAGAUUGGCUGGGACGUGUCAG